rnacentral:rRNA from 1 species
AUUGAACGCUGGCGGCAUGCUUUACACAUGCAAGUCGAACGGUAACAGGGAGCUUGCUCCGCUGACGAGUGGCGAACGGGUGAGUAAUGCGUCGGAACGUGCCGAGUAGUGGGGGAUAACGCAUCGAAAGGUGUGCUAAUACCGCAUACGAACUGAGGUUGAAAGUGGGGGACCUUCGGGCCUCACGCUAUUCGAGCGGCCGACGUCUGAUUAGCUAGUUGGUGAGGUAAAGGCUCACCAAGGCGACGAUCAGUAGCGGGUCUGAGAGGAUGAUCAGCCACACUGGGACUGGGACACGGCCCAGACUCCUACGGGAGGCAGCAGUGGGGAAUUUUGGACAAUGGGCGCAAGCCUGAUCCAGCCAUGCCGCGUGUCUGAAGAAGGCCUUCGGGUUGUAAAGGACUUUUGUCCGGGAGCAAAUGCUGGUGGCUAACAUCCACCGGAGCUGAGAGUACCGGAAGAAUAAGCACCGGCUAACUACGUGCCAGCCGCCGCAGUAAGAC